rnacentral:rRNA from 1 species
UACAGAGGUCUCAAGCGUUGUUCGGAUUCAUUGGGCGUAAAGGGUGUGUAGGUGGCGCCGUAAGUCGGGUGUGAAAUUUCGGAGCUUAACUCCGAAACUGCAUUCGAUACUGCGGUGCUUGAGGACUGGAGAGGAGACUGGAAUUCAUGGUGUAGCAGUGAAAUGCGUAGAUAUCAGGAGGAACACCGGUGGCGAAGGCGGAUCUCUGGGCCAUUACUGACGCUGAGGAGCGAAAGCGUGGGGAGCGAACAGG